CAACUUUUAUUUUGUUUUAGCAAAUGCGAAAACAAUAUAUACAGUGUGUCCCACGUAACUUCAGCGAAGCUUUAAAAAUAUGGAAAUGCCACGUAGCCGGAUCGAACCAAGGCAGAUCACGGAGGAUUCCAAACCGCCCAGUGGUGUAGUACGCCUUCUCCGUAACUGAAGAUACUGACAAGAAAAAGGUGGACGGAAUGUAGCUGGCGGAGAACAUGAAGUGAAAUGAUGACGUAGUGUUCUGUGGGUUUGGGCAUCCUUUGGAAACUGCAAAAACCGCUCGUGUGGCAACUGCAGUGUUCUUCUCAUGUAAGGAAGACGCCCUGCGGCUUAAUAUCACACCAAGUUUUCUUAAGGAAAUUGACAGGGUAUGCGCUAUAUGGCGCCUUUGCUACUCUUUGGGGGAGGACGCUAGCAACGCCACCACGGAGAUCUACAAAGUCGCCGGCGAGUGCACGUACAAGUUCAGCCAGGCAGCCGCCUUUGUUUUCCCUACAUGGCCAGAAAAGUACAAUAUCAAUAUUGAUUCUUUUGCGGAUGCCAUGCAGAGAUGUGCUUUCCCGAAAUAUCCGAAAGGCGUGAAUUACGUCCUGAGAACUAUUGAUUACUUCAGGUACUUUGCUUCCGGAUAGCAUGCGCUCGAUAUCAUCAGCAAGAAUAAAAUAGUUAAAAUAUAAUGCUGAUGUUCCCAGCAGAAUGAAGCACUGAACAAAUAAAUACAU